AACAUUCUGGAAAGUAUAACCAUAGAGGGUGAUAGUCCCGUAUGCGAAAAACAAACCUUAGCUAGCAGUAUCCUGAGUAGGGCGGGACACGAGGAAUCCUGUCUGAAUCCGGGUCGACCACGAUCCAACCCUAAAUACUAAUACCAGAUCGAUAGUGCACAAGUACCGUGAGGGAAAGGUGAAAAGAACUGAGGUGAUCAGAGUGAAAUAGAACCUGAAACCAUUUGCUUACAAUCAUUCAGAGCCCUAUGUAGCAAUACAGGGUGAUGGACUGCCUUUUGCAUAAUGAGCCUGCGAGUUGUGGUGUCUGGCAAGGUUAAGCAAACGCGAAGCCGUAGCGAAAGCGAGUCUGAAUAGGGCGCUUAGUCAGAUGCUGCAGACCCGAAACGAAGUGAUCUAUCCAUGAGCAAGUUGAAGCUAGUGUAAGAACUAGUGGAGGACUGAACCCAUAGGCGUUGAAAAGCCCCGGGAUGACUUGUGGAUAGGGGUGAAAGGCCAAUCAAACUUCGUGAUAGCUGGUUCUCUCCGAAAUAUAUUUAGGUAUAGCGUUGUGUCGUAAUAUAAGGGGGUAGAGCACUGAAUGGGCUAGGGCAUACACCAAUGUACCAAACCCUAUCAAACUCCGAAUACCUUAUAUGUAAUCACAGCAGUCAGGCGGCGAGUGAUAAAAUCCGUCGUCAAGAGGGAAACAACCCAGACUACCAGCUAAGGUCCCUAAGUCUUACUUAAGUGGAAAACGAUGUGAAGUUACUUAAACAACCAGGAGGUUGGCUUAGAAGCAGCCAUCCUUUAAAGAAAGCGUAAUAGCUCACUGGUCUAGUGAUUUUGCGCGGAAAAUAUAACGGGGCUAAAGUAAGUACCGAAGCUGUAGACUUAGUUUACUAAGUGGUAGGAGAGCGUUCUAUUUGCGUCGAAGGUAUACCGGUAAGGAGUGCUGGAGCGAAUAGAAGUGAGCAUGCAGGCAUGAGUAGCGAUAAUUAAUGUGAGAAUCAUUAACGCCGUAAACCCAAGGUUUCCUACGCGAUGCUCGUCAUCGUAGGGUUAGUCGGGUCCUAAGUCGAGUCCGAAAGGGGUAGACGAUGGCAAAUUGGUUAAUAUUCCAAUACCAACAUUAGUGUGCGAUGGAAGGACGCUUAGGGCUAAGGGGGCUAGCGGAUGGAAGUGCUAGUCUAAGGUCGUAGGAGGUUAUACAGGCAAAUCCGUAUAACAAUACUCCGAGAACUGAAAGGCUUUUUGAAGUCUUCGGAUGGAUAGAAGAACCCCUGAUGCCGUCGAGCCAAGAAAAGUUUCUAAGUUUAGCUAAUGUUGCCCGUACCGUAAACCGACACAGGUGGGUGGGAUGAGUAUUCUAAGGCGCGUGGAAGAACUCUCUUUAAGGAACUCUGCAAAAUAGCACCGUAUCUUCGGUAUAAGGUGUGGUUA
rnacentral:rRNA from 1 species